AAGACCCAGCCUCGUAUGCCCACUGAUUCUUCGGGGCUUUUAGCUUAAAAAGAAAAUGAAUUAAUGUUGUCUCUAAUGCAAAAUACAGCCUUUGAAGGCAAGGCUGUAAGUCAAUUGGAACUUGGAUUAAUUUGUAUUCCGAAUAGUCAUGUGUAUUCGUAAAUUGAAGUGAAAGUGGCCACUAAUCUGAGUGAAAUUCUUUCUGGACGAGAUUAACAUUUAAAACAGCGGACUUCAAGUAAAGUACAUUACAUCCAUAAUGCAGAUGGAUCUCAUCCAAUCAAUUGAAGACCUGAAUAGAACAAAAAAGAUCGACCUUCCCUGAGCAAGAAGAAAUUCCACCACAGAAAACUGACUUCAAAUAUACCAUUGGCCCAGACUGGGAAAGAUGGAUGUCAGGGGUGAAGUUGGAUAAAGAAUCCCUGUGAGUGGACUCAUUACACAGCAACAAUAUGGUGUGUUAAAAAAACAGGUCAGAACGCUGAGACAGUUACCUAGAAAUAUCUCUUUGAAAGUCAUCUUCAGAUCAUGUCAAAGGAAAAUAGAAGACAAAUUAUGGUUCUUUUGGGAGUUUCUCAGAAUUUCUUGCAGGGGUGCAGCAAGUGGGUAUUUUGGCUUAGGGGUUUGAACAAAAAUAGCAAAAACAAACAACUAUCAGAGUGUCAUCUCAAGAAACUGGCCCCAGGGUAUAAAGAUGUCAGACUAAAUAUACUAUGAUGUUCCUCACUGAUAAUAUAGAAGAUGAGGUGAAGAUGGAAGUAUAUCAGGUAUUAAAGAAAGGGCAAUUGUGGUUAUUAUUCAUCCCUAUUUUGCAAACAAGAGAAACUGAGGCUCACAAAAGUUAUUGCUCAAGGCCAGAUGAUAAAAACUGAAGAAUUGAAAGUUCAAAGGCUUUCUUCACCUCUGACAUCCAAUUGUGUUUGGCCAACGGGAAGUGAAAAAGAAGAGAUUCAAGGCAGGAAGAAUAGUGACGUUGGGCCAUUUCUUCUAUCUUCUGAUCUGGUUGAAAAUUAACUCAGCCAGACACUGGGCAAGCCAAGCAACUCUACCAUCUGGACCAGAUGAAAAAUUGACAGAAGAGGUGAUAUGGUGUAAUUCAAACCAAAACAAUAUGUUAAGGCUUCCAAUUUGAACUUUCUUUUUCU